rnacentral:rRNA from 1 species
AUGGCUACGUUCGCGACGUCGACGGCGGCGGUGAUGGGAUCGGCUCGCCCGGGGCGGGUGGCCGGGCCUCGGCGGUGCGUGGUGGCGCGGGCGUCCUCGACGAUGGCGGCACCGGCGGCCCUGGCGACGGGAAGGACGCACUACGAUGUGCUCGGCGUGAGCGCCGGGGCGAGCAGGGGGGAGAUCAAGGCGGCGUACCGGCGUCGGGCCAGGGAGGUGCACCCGGACGCUGCUGGUGGCGUCGGCGACGAGGGGUUCAUCCAGCUCCACGCGGCUUACGCCACGCUCGCUGACCCCGACGAGCGCGCUCGCUACGACAGCGACAUGGCCUGCCGCGCCGCCGGGACGAUGAUGAUGCGACGGGCGGGCGCGGCUGGGCCGUCGUUCCGGCGGAGGACGUGGGAGACUGACCAGUGCUGGUAG